rnacentral:rRNA from 1 species
UACGUAGGGCGCAAGCGUUGUCCGGAAUUAUUGGGCGUAAAGAGCUCGUAGGCGGCUUGUCACGUCGGGUGUGAAAGCCCGGGGCUUAACCCCGGGUCUGCAUUCGAUACGGGCUAGCUAGAGUGUGGUAGGGGAGAUCGGAAUUCCUGGUGUAGCGGUGAAAUGCGCAGAUAUCGUGAGGAAGACCAGUGGCGAAGGCGGAUCUCUGGACAGUUCCUGACGCUGAGGCGCGAAGGCCAGGGGAGCAAACGGG